CCCUCGACCUCAUCCGGCGGCAGAUCCUCUCUCCGAUACAUGGACGGCGGCUACGCUCGAGAACCGCCGCAUCGAGAGCGAGCCCUUCCUCUCCCACGUCGCUGGCCAGGUGCUCCAGGGCCUCGCCUACCUCCACAGCCGGAAGAUCGUCCACCGCGACAUCAAGCCGUCUAAUCUCCUCAUCAACAGCCAGAAGCAGAUCAAGAUCGCUCACUUCGGGGUCGGGAGAAAAAGGCAACGCCUUUAUUGGGAAAAUUGGAUCAUCUUGCAGCUUCAAUCACUCGCUCACCAACAAACGAUUACUAUCUUGAUUGUAUUCAUCAACACAAAAGAGAUCUUUGCUUCAGGCUUGCUUUCCUCCUUCAGCCUAAUUUCGCUAUUUCAGGGAAAAUUUGUUCUUCGCUCUGCUAAUUCCAUGGAUAGUAUGAACACAUAAGUGGAUAUCUAAGUAACCAUGCAUUUGUGACAUUGCUUGGUUGAGAAGGGGUUGGCUGAGAGAUUGAGGAUGGGUAGUUUGCUUGAGGAUGGACUAUGAGGUUGGGAUUAACAAAACUGUCACUGUCGAGACCAUUGCCAAUCUCCUUCAGGUUUCGUAAGAGUUUUCGCUAAUUCAGGUUUCUUGUUAUUUUUUCAUGUCAAACAGCUAUAUUUCAUGCCAAAUCAGGGGAUUGCCUCCAGUCUAGAUAGACAGUAGACAAAAUUGGUGAUUCUGUUGGGGAGACUCAUGGGGUCUCCUAAUCAUUUCAAAAAGCAAUUAGAGUGGCUUCAAAUCAUUGUUUCGGUCUCUCAAAGUUCAAGUGCCUUUUACAGAAGCGACUUUGCUUACGCCAAUGAAGUGUUUUAAGAAAGCUGUAGAGAAAUGUCACAUGGAUUCAUUAGGCACGUAGUCUCUUCAGUUUCCUGGGGUAAACAUGUUGCAGUUGGCACUGGAACUCAUUUUGAAGUUAUAUGGGGCCACAAAAACCCGGUGGCAUGUAAUGAAGAUGUGGGGAAAGACGUGUAUGAUCUUUUGCUAUGGGUUAGGGAGCCUCAAUAAAGGGAUUUACCUGGUGCUUGCUUGGGAAGUGAUAUCGACUACUCCUUGGAUGAUUUCCAAGGCAAUGACAUGCCCUUGUUUUCUGUGAGAAGCCAACCUUUGAAGAUUAUGUUGAAACUGAGAGCAGAGGUAACCACAGCUGGCAAGAAUGGGGAAGAACAGGCAAACCUUCUUCAAACUGGGAUAAUGGCAGUCCGAAUUGCAUUUUCUUAUGCAAUGAUCAAGAUGCGCUCUUUUUUUGUCGUCCUAAAGAUAAUCAGUGGACACAACACAAGCAUGAUUUGUAUCAUGAUAUCCGUGAAGAUGACUUCUUACGUGAUGUCACAAGCUUCAAUGGAGGAUUUUCGGGCUGACGCGGUCCAGUUUUGUGGCAAUUGAAUGUUACCCAAGUCAUUCUAGAAUCAACAUAUUGGGAGAAAUCAAUGUGAAACAUAAGGUGAUGGUUUAUUUUGAGGACUAUUUGGUUGCGUGUCUUGGGGAGCUUUAUCUUGUAAGGCUACAUCGAAGGAGUACAGCAAUUGAAGUGCAACCUGUUUCGGUUACAAAGAGGGGUUCUAAUAAUAGUGAAUGGGUUUAUGUGCAUGAUAUAGAUGGCUGUGUGAUCUUUUUGGAUCUAAAUGAGGGCUUCUGUGCGUCUCGGUCUGCAAGUGAGCUCAGCCUUGUAGGUGAUUGCAUAUAUUAUGUAAACAUAGGCGAAACAUGUUUUUUCUGUUAUGAUAUGAAGACAGAUUGCACCCAGGCCAAUUUGCCUUGUCAUCAUGUUCGUGAGGGAUCGUGGUCAAGAUCUAUGUGGGUACUGCCACCGCUUUGAGUGAAUCUGCUGGUCAAUUAUCAUGUAAUGAAUGAUUAAUGCGAAUUUAUGCUUUCUUCUUAGGAAUUUCAAGAUAACUGAAGUUUUUUGCACUUUCUCUUUGUCGGAGACUGGAUUUGUUUUGGGUGUAUAAUGACAUAAUGUUGCACCUAGGUAAUUGUUAG